ACUUUUCGGUGACCUUCCCCACUCCUGGACAAUCGAACUUCGAUAUAUAAAUCGCGUUACGGAGGUCAUUCUAGCAACCGAAAACCUAAGCGGUUAGACGUACGUGCCAGGGUGACGGGUUACGGUUUUAUUGCGAGGAAAACAUGGAGACGUUAGAGAGAUGCCAGAAAAUUCGUAAGGACGUCAUGAUGGUACUAAUGAUCAAUCUGAGAGAUUCUUCUGCAAAUACGAGAAUUUUUGUGAUCGCGCGCAAUGCGAUUGGUAGACUCAGUGUUUGCUCGUUAUAAUUACUUUUAAUAUUCUUCAGAGCACCACAGCUCUCAUUAAAUUUAAUUAUAAUGAUCCACCCGCGAAAUUAGAGUCAGUGUUUUCGCCGGUUAUUACUUGAGCGGACGCGUUACUGGUCUUUUAUUUUUCUUUUUUUUUAUGUAUCUUUUUUAUUCGCUUUCGGUAGUAGAGUCGCAGGUCUCGCAAGAGGAUGAAGCGCAGAUAUUGAACCUCAAGAAUUUUUCUUCAGUAUGGAAUUGCACGGCUCCUCCUUGGCAAUGGUCUUCACGAUGACUUCCCUACCAAAGCAUCGAUGAUCCUGUUCCUCGCAUCUAAUGGUGAGUCGCAUGCAUUUUUGUUCCUCUGGUCACUCAAUCAUGUCGUAGGAUGAUUGGUCCGAAUCGGCACGGGUGACUGGUUGUAUUAUGUUGUUUUGACGAGCAUAAUGACCGCGGGUAUAAUACUCGCGAGUAGUAACAAUUUUUGACUGUUUUAUGUAUUAGCUCAGGAUAGGUUUUCUUGUAUGUCGCGGUUUUAGAGAUUGAAAAUAAUGCAUUAAUAUAUAAGAAAUUUGUACAAAGAAUAUAAUGUUGAUACAUAUUCGUUACGAUUAUUUAUAUAAUUAUAUUCAAAUAAAUAGCGAAAUGAUUUUGUUUAACUACUUUAUAGCGGAGAAGUCUGAUUUCCUCAGAUUUCGUUUCAAUUAUCAACAUUAUUU